rnacentral:rRNA from 1 species
AUACAGAGGGUGCGAGCGUUAAUCGGAAUUACUGGGCGUAAAGCGCGCGUAGGCGGCUUAUUAAGUCAGAUGUGAAAUCCCCGGGCUCAACCUGGGAACUGCAUCUGAUACUGGUAAGCUAGAGUUUUGGAGAGGGAAGUAGAAUUUCAGGUGUAGCGGUAAAAUGCAUAGAGAUCUGAAGGAAUACCAGUGGCGAAGGCGACUUCCUGGCCAAAAACUGACGCUGAGGUGCGAAAGCGUGGGUAGCAAACGGGAUUAGAAACCCCAGUAGUCC